rnacentral:rRNA from 1 species
AUGAACCGUUUGUGGUGCUCCCUCUCCCAAAUCCUCCGCCGUUGCAGAGCGCCGGCGGCCGCCCCGCAGCGCCUGCUUCACUGGUGUUCUUCCGCCUCCCGCGUCACGCCUGCUCUACUCCGUCACCCAGCGUCGACUGUACUUCGUCGGCAGCUCCGUUGGUACCACGACCCUCGGAAGGUCGCCAUGGCGACGGCGAUCGGCUUGAGUGCCACGGUGAUGGCCACAUGCGACCGCGAGGUCGUGCCCUGCACCAACCGCUCCCACCUGGUCGUCCUAUCUCCCCAGAAGGAGCGCGACCUCGGCGAGUCCCUAUUCGACGAGGAGAUGGCCAAGCACAGGCAUAAGACGGUCGACCCAUGCCAUCCGGAUAGCGUCCGCGUCCGUCUCAUCGCCGAGAGAAUCAUCCACGCCGCCAACCGUGGCCUGGGCGUCUACGACAGCCGUGACGCCCCCAUGCUCCGUGUCACUCAGAAAGGAAACAAGCCGUGGGCACCGCAGCCACACACGAGGCACCUCCAUGGCCUCAACGGCAGCUGGGAGCUGGUCCUGGCCAGGCAUGAAAACGCCACUGUAGGCUCCGCGCCCGGUGGCAAGAUUAUAGUCUUCACCGGACUGCUGGACUGGUAUAAGAACGACGGCGAAAUCGCCUUCGCUCUUGCACAUGAGGUUGGGCACCUGAUUGCAAGGCACCAGGCGGAUAUCAUGAGUAGGCUGUGGUUGCCUGCAAUCCUACGUCGGAGCUUCUUACAUCGCGGUCCCUCGUCUCCAUACGCCGGGUUGACCUCACUCGCUGUCAGACUCCCUCCUCCCCCUCUCACACCGCAUAAUCCACCUCCCAGGCAUGUCCCCUCGGGGGGAGUAAAUAACAGAAAGAACCGUCAUAGAAACAGGGCACGAAAGAAAGAUACAUAUGACACAAAUCACACGAAAAAUAAACUCACAUAUCCAUUGGCACUGAAUCGAGAGAAGGCACAGAUUCAGAUUCCUGAAUCUGUGGGUCUGUAA